GUGGAUUAGAUACCCGGGUAGUCCACGCCGUAAACGAUGGGAACCUGACGUCGGUUUGCUCUGCGAAUCGGUGUCGUAGCUAACGCGCUAAGUUCCCCGCCUGGGGAGUACGGCCGCAAGGUUGAAACUCAAAGGAAUUGACGGGGGCCCGCACAAGCGGUGGAGUAUGUGGUUUAAUUCGAUGCAACGCGAAGAACCUUACCUGGGCUUGACAUGCUCGGAAUCCUGCAGAGAUGCGGGAGUGCCCGCAAGGGAACCGAGACACAGGUGCUGCACGGCUGUCGCCAGCU
rnacentral:rRNA from 1 species